AAAACUCAAAUGAAUUGACGGGGGCCCGCACAAGCGGUGGAGCAUGUGGUUUAAUUCGAUGCAACGCGAAGAACCUUACCUGGUCUUGACAUCCACAGAACUUAGCAGAGAUGCUUUGGUGCCUUCGGGAACUGUGAGACAGGUGCUGCAUGGCUGUCGUCAGCUCGUGUUGUGAAAUGUUGGGUUAAGUCCCGCAACGAGCGCAACCCUUAUCCUUU
rnacentral:rRNA from 1 species